GUCAAAAAUAGAUUUCCCUUUCUUUCCAAAUUGUAGCAAAAAAUAACCACAUGCCUUUCUUGGACUCCUGACUCUCACCCCAAAGGGUUUUCUUGUAUAGGGACCAACAAUUCCUUGGAUGGAAACACUGGAUAGGCUAGUCAUUAUUUAGAGAUUUAGAAGAUUGCAGAUUCUUGGCAGACCUUGGUUGUUUUUCUAGUAGUAGGCAAGCGGUAGGACAAAAAUCAAGAAGCAGAUCCAUGUGGCUGGGUUUGGGUUCCUCCUGAACAGAUGAGAGGAGGCUGAAAAUUCUGAUGUUCAUUGGACACAGCUUCCUAGAGGGUCUUCACUGGAGACGUGAUGAAUCACGUGGCCGCCCUCUCCUCCUCCUGCCCGUGACUCCUGUCUGCUGGGCUCACUCUCCAAAAUAACUUUCCUUUACAAAAGCCCUUGUCAUAGGCUCUGCUUUCUGUGAGGAAUCCCAGCUAAGAUGCUAAAGCAAUAUACAAGGAUGAAGACAUGAAGAUGAGUUGUUAAGGGACUGGCAGGGUUGUCCAUCUCUGUGAAGGGGGUUCAAAGAGGUGUUUGGGAAGCGCUGGCCCCGAUGACCAUUGGAAUCACAGCAUGAAGAGUGAGAGUGGUCAGGUCCCCAUCCAGCUCUAACGGGUUUAUGAGUUUCUGAGUUUUCCACGAAGAACAGCAGAAGAUCCCCAAGACUUUCCAGCCUGUUGAACUUCUGCACGUGUGACACCGAGGAGAAGCAGAGAGGCAAACAAACCAGAGCAUUUUCACAAACAUUCAGAAAUCCCACAGUCUCAGCAGACUUCGGCACUAUUUCUAGAUCUAAUUAUAAAACCGCAAGUGAUGCUGGCCUAUUCCAGGGAAAUUGUUGAUCUCACUCCAGGCGUGGUCUCUGUCUACAGGUAAAGGUGGGGGAGACUCAGGCAGGGAUGGCUUCUUUGCUUCUGUCAUGAUCCACGCCUGGCUGAUGCAAAGGGAAACGCAGCCUUUGCAUCAACCAAGUUGUUGGCUAGAUGCUCAGGAUUCUGAAAACCUAGUUACCUCCCUGUACCUCUCUGUACCUGCAUGAUCUAGUCCAGUAGCUCUCAAAGGGUGAUCCCUGGGUGAGACCGUCUUUUUCUGAAAGCAAAUUUUCCACAGGAGGGAGGUUAGAAAUGCCAACUUUUGGAUCCCACCCCAGCAGUCUGUUCAGACAAGCCUUCCAGGUGAUUCUGCUGCUGGCUCAAGUUUGAAAACCCCUGCCCUGGGCGUUUUCCUUCCCAGCCUGGCUUUUGAGAUUUGGUGGCCUUCCCUGUUGAUUUCACACCCCUGCCCAGAGAAUAGGCUUAGAGAACAAAAGAAACCUUGAAUAGCCAAGAGAUGAGAAAGGGGCUCGGACCGUAUAGGUAGUAGCUACCCACUUUACAAACAGACUAUGUUCUGGACCUUGGAAGUGAGCUGUUUUCCUGGGAAUGAGAGGUAGGUUCCCACAACCGCACACAAAGGCAUAUUUCAUCCUGAAUCCAGCUGAAAUACUGCUGCAUCGCAAUGAGGUAGAGCAGAUCGCAGUGCUCCCAUAGGGCUGGAAAGCAAUCAACGCAAAAUAAAGCAAUGAAUGAUACACA